AGUACCCUACUGUAAAUAGGCGGUUGCAUCGGUCCCCAAGUCUGCACCAGUAACGCUAGUCUGGUGUGCAAGGACCAGUGGUGGCCCUCCCAGUCAACACCACCUCAUAAGAUGAGGAAGUACAUUCGUUUAUGAGGAUUGCCUGCUGCAGUUAUUCGAGAGAUGUCCAGUUUGCAGCUGAACAUGCAACAUAGAGAAGACAAGCAAGGGGACCCUCAGCAUCACGCAGAGAUGGCCUGGGAAGACAAUUGAAUCAGGUUGGUGACAUCUGACCUGGUCAAAGGUCAAAAACAGUUUCAAGUUCUGUCCCAAUAUCCCUUCAUAACCUAGCCUGGUGGCAACAGUCUGAUCACUGUGUUUAACAUUCUAUUUCACUUUCACUUCACAUAUCAUGAUACAUGAAGUGAAAUAGAAAGGUGAACACAGUGAUCCGGUUGGUUCCACCAUGCUAAUCAUAACCACCAUUGAUAAUGUAAUCAGUGCCCGGUGUGUGUGUUUGUGUGUGACCAACCAGUAGUAUCUUUGAUGAAGGGCCAGGAGCUGAUCUACGCUGCCAUGUCCAUCCUACGCACAGAAUCAGGCCCUCGAGGACUGGAAUUGCCCACCCCUGCUUUAAGACAUGAAGGUCAGUCAAUCUGGAAAAUGUCAAAGUUUCUUCAAGUGCAGUCGCAAAAACCAUCAAGCGCUAUGAUGAAACUGGCUCUCAUGAGGACCGCCACAGGACAGGAAUUGAGAUGGUGUGGGAUGAUUUGGACUGCAGACUGAAGGAAAAGCAGCCAGAAAGUGCUCAGUUUAUGUGGGAACUACUUCAAGACUGUUGGAAAAGCAUUCCUCAUGAAGCUGGUUGAGAGAAUGCCAAGAGCGUGCAAAGCUGUCAUCAAGGUAUUGGGUGGCUACUUUGAAGAAUCUCAAAUAUAAAUAUAUUUUGAUUUGUUUAACACUUUUUUGGUUACUACAUGAUUUCAUAUGUGUUAUUUCAUAGUUUAAGUCUUCACUAUUAUUCUAUAAUGUAGAAAAUAGUAAAAAAUAAA